GCCACCAUCAACUUAUAUGAGGAUUCCGACAGCGAAGAGGAUGAGGAAGAUAAGGAGGAGGACGAGGAGGAAGAAGAGGAAGAGGUCAAUGAAAUUGAAGCAGAAGGGUGUGUGGGGGUACCACACGAGGCCACAGCUCAUUCCCCUGACCCAUACUCGACCAGUCCAAAUUGAAGCAAUUCCAGUUAAACUUGGCAGGUUUCCAAGGGCAUCAAUUAGCAAAGCGUCUCCAGACCCAGCUUUUCUGGAUUGAAACCAGUGUCCUCAGGCUGUCUAGCUCACCCUGGCUUUCUGGAUUGGCCUGCAAGUCUAGGCCUCUGGCAUGUUCUUGUCUGGGCUGCUCUUGUGCCAACAGUAGGAGGUUCCUCGGGCCUGGAAGGGACUAGGGAAGACUUGAUUUCUGAAGCCCUCAUGAAGUAGAGCAGAAAGGAUACCCCUGUACAGUGAGCAGUCACUCCUCAGGGCCUUUCGAGUUUUCAAAGAUACCAACACCAGUUCCAAGCAAUACUAAGGCAUCUGGAGGGAAGGGAAGGGAAGGGUGUGGAAGGGAAGAAGAACCUUAAGAAUCUGCUUAUCUGGGGACCUGCAUCCCACUUUGCCUGCUAUUCACUUAGUCUGGGUAUUGGCCUAAGGUGAGUCAGGAGAAAAAUAAAUGGAAUGAUGUUUGCUUUUUUCUUGG
rnacentral:lncRNA from 1 species